AUCGCUUCUCGGCCUUUUGGCUAAGAUCAAGUGUAGUAUCUGUUCUUAUCAGUAAAUACUUAGGUUUUAAAAACUAAAAAUGCAACAGUUAGGAGAGUAAUAUGAUAGGACAAUAUGUAUUACUCAAUAUUUUCAGAUUGCUGAAUUAAAAUGCUUAUUUCAGUAAAGCAGUGGGCUGUAACAGUUGACAUCAU